UUCCGGUUGAUCCUGCCGGAGGUCAUUGCUAUUGGAGUCCGAUUUAGCCAUGCUAGUUGUACGAGUUUAGACUCGUAGCAGAUAGCUCAGUAACACGUGGCCAAACUACCCUAUGGACCAAGACAACCUCGGGAAACUGAGGCUAAUCUUGGAUACGAUUCUCCCGCUGGAACUGCAGAGAAUCCGAAAUGCUCCGGCGCCAUAGGAUGUGGCUGCGGCCGAUUAGGUAGACGGUGGGGUAACGGCCCACCGUGCCGAUAAUCGGUACGGGUUGUGAGAGCAAGAGCCCGGAGACGGUAUCUGAGACAAGAUACCGGGCCCUACGGGGCGCAGCAGGCGCGAAACCUUUACACUGCACGCCAGUGCGAUAAGGGGACUCCGAGUGCGAGGGCAUAUAGUCCUCGCUUUUCACCACCGUAAGGUGGUGGUGGAAUAAGUGCUGGGCAAGACCGGUGCCAGCCGCCGCGGUAAUACCGGCAGCACGAGUGAUGACCGCUAUUAUUGGGCCUAAAGCGUCCGUAGCUGGCCGCGCAAGUCUAUCGGGAAAUCUGCUCGCCUAACGAGCAGGCGUCCGGUGGAAACUGUGUGGCUUGGGACCGGAAGACCAGAGGGGUACGUCUGGGGUAGGAGUGAAAUCCCGUAAUCCUGGACGGACCACCGGUGGCGAAAGCGCCUCUGGAGGACGGAUCCGACGGUGAGGGACGAAAGCUCGGGUCACGAACCGGAUUAGAUACCCGGGUAGUCCGAGCUGUAAACGAUGUCUGCUAGAUGUGCCACAGGCUACGAGCCUGUGGUGUGUCGUAGGGAAGCCGAGAAGCAGACCGCCUGGAAGU
rnacentral:rRNA from 1 species